rnacentral:rRNA from 1 species
GUGGGGAAUAUUGGGCAAUGGGCGCAAGCCUGACCCAGCAACGCCGCGUGAAGGAAGAAGGCUUUCGGGUUGUAAACUUCUUUUACCAGGGACGAAACAAAUGACGGUACCUGGUGAAUAAGCCACGGCUAACCACGUGCCAGCAGCCGCGGUAAUACGUAGGUGGCGAGCGUUAUCCGGACUUAUUGGGCGUAAAGGGCGUGUAGGCGGGACAGCAAGUCAGAUGGGAAAACCAGAGGCUCAACCUCUGGCCUGCAUUUGAAACUGUUGUGCUUGAGUGUCGGAGAGGUAAUCGGAAUUCCGGGUGUAGCGGUGAAAUGCGUAGAUAUACGGAGGAACACCAGUGGCGAGGGCGGAUUACUGGACCAGAAUUGACGCUGAGGUGCGAAAGCGUGGGGAGCAAACAGGAUUAGAAACCCUUGUAGUCC